GAAUCCACACAAACUGCAGCAUUUACUCAGGCCGAUUGAGUCCUGAAGCAACCAAGCUUUUCAUCAGGAUGAUAUUUCACCCAGUUAAACUUACAAUAGGACCAUAAAGCGUUUUCCCCGAUCAGACUGGAUGGGAGGCAGCUGAGAAAUGAACAUAUUACUGAGGAGGUUAGGUAGUGACAGAUACCUGAUGCCAGUUUCAUCAGUCAGCUGGUAAGAUAAAACAUUCUUUUUAAGAUCACAUACUUCUUUUGAUGCUUCCUUCAUCACUAUUUGUACAACAUACACCUGUAAUAACACUAAUCAUCAGAACAGGGGAUAAUGCAACUUCACCUCCUUAUCUGCUAUGAUAUGAGAGUGAAAUGUGUUUUCUUAGUCUGAGGUUUUGUGAAGCCACAUUUGUUGUUUGCUCCUCCUGAGAACAAAGGAGAAGAAGAGGCAGCUGGAGGAGCAAUUUUUGUCCAUCAAGGGCUAUUGAGAGUUCAAUUAUUUAUCUUGU